AGGACGAACGCUGGCGGCGUGCUUAACACAUGCAAGUCGAGCGGUAAGGCUCCUUCGGGAGUACACGAGCGGCGAACGGGUGAGUAACACGUGAGCAAUCUGCCCUUCUCAUCGGAAUAAGCGUUGGAAACGACGUCUAAUGCCGAAUACGACCUCCUUUCGCAUGAUCGGAGGUGGAAAGCUCCGGCGGAGAAGGAUGAGCUCGCGGCCUAUCAGCUAGUUGGUGUGGGUAAUGGCCCACCAAGGCGACGACGGGUAGCCGGCCUGAGAGGGUGACCGGCCACGACUGGGACUGAGACACGGCCCAGACUCCUACGGGAGCAGCAGUGGGGAAUAUUGGACAAU
rnacentral:rRNA from 1 species